ensembl:lncRNA
UAAAGAGCCAGUGCCAUUUAAAGCAACAGAGCCAAUCAUCGCCCUGGAUCUAGGACUCGAGAGCAUGACUGACCAGGUGUGUGAGCCGGCAACAUCGUGCGCCGUGGGAAUACUGGUGGAGAUCGAGGGCUUGGAGGGAAUCCCCACCCACACUCGCUGAGGGUGAGCUGCAACUGGUCACUGGACUAUACUAUGAGGAACUUAUGGACAUUUUCCAGAUGGAUUCAAUAGAUUGGUUUGGGGAGGCAUUACCCAGUUUUCCUGUGUCUCCGCUGGUUCCGCCCAGUCCUGUAUCUCCUGCGUCUCUGCUGGUUCCGCCCAGUUCCUCAACCCUAUCUCCGCUGGUGCCUGUCAGUCCCUCAGCUCACCCUCAAUCAGCGCCAUCUGGGCGCUCUGAUCUGCCUCGGGACUUCCAGUCUCCAGCUCCACCUUGGCAUGAGGAUCCCCUGUCUCCGCCUCCAGCCUCCGAGCCCUGGACUCCACCUCAGUCCUUCGACUCAUUGGCUCCGCCUUGGCUCUUAGCUCCCUGGUCUCCACCAUGGCCUGUCAUCCCACCAGCUCCACCGGGCUCCCUCGUCCCUCUGGCUCCACCUUGGUCAGUCGUCGACCAUCCACUGCCUUGGGACUCCACUCCUCUGGCUUCACCUGUCGCUCCUGCUCCACCGUGGUCUUCCGGAACCCCGCUGCCACCUCGGUCACCUGAGCCUUCUGCUCCGCCUUGGCCCUCUCAAUCCUCGGUGUCACACUGGCUCUGCGGCUGCUCUGCUCUAUUCUGGGCUCCUCAUCCAUCGGCUCAGUCUCCAUCAGUUGGCCCCCUGGUGUUGUCAGCUCCUUCUCCACCAUGGCUCCUCCCUCCGUCGACUCCACCGUGGACCGCUAUCCUGGCUGGCCUCUGGAGUUCCAUCUGGCUCCUCCUGAUCCAGGCUCCUCCCUCCAUCCACUCCACCCUGGCACUAUGGUCUAUGCUCCCUCUCCUUUGCCUGCCCCUUGCCUGCCCCCCGCCCGCCUCCUGAACCCCCACCCUCCCUCCU